CCUACGGGUGGCAGCAGUGGGGAAUAUUGCACAAUGGGCGCAAGCCUGAUGCAGCCAUGCCGCGUGUGUGAAGAAGGCCUUCGGGUUGUAGAGCACUUUCAGCGGGGAGGAAGGCGUUAAGGUUAAUAACCUUGGCGAUUGACGUUACCCGCAGAAGAAGCACCGGCUAACUCCGUGCCAGCAGCCGCGGUAAUACGGAGGGUGCAAGCGUUAAUCGGAAUUACUGGGCGUAAAGCGCACGCAGGCGGUCUGUCAAGUCGGAUGUGAAAUCCCCGGGCUCAACCUGGGAACUGCAUUCGAAACUGGCAGGCUAGAGUCUUGUAGAGGGGGGUAGAAUUCCAGGUGUGGCGGUGAAAUGCGUAGAGAUCUGGAGGAAUACCGGUGGCGAAGGCGGCCCCCUGGACAAAGACUGACGCUCAAGUGCGAAAGCGUGGGGAGCAAACAGGAUUAGAUACCCGUGUAGUC
rnacentral:rRNA from 1 species